AAACCAACAGGGAUUGCCUUAGUAACGGCGAGUGAAGCGGCAACAGCUCAAAUUUGAAAUCUGGCUCUUUUAGAGUCCGAGUUGUAAUUUGCAGAGGGCGCUUUGGCGUUGGCAGCGGUCCAAGUUCCUUGGAACAGGACGUCACAGAGGGUGAGAAUCCCGUACGUGGUCGCUAGCCAUCACCGUGUAAAGCCCCUUCGACGAGUCGAGUUGUUUGGGAAUGCAGCUCUAAAUGGGAGGUAAAUUUCUUCUAAAGCUAAAUACUGGCCAGAGACCGAUAGCGCACAAGUAGAGUGAUCGAAAGAUGAAAAGCACUUUGGAAAGAGAGUCAAAUAGCACGUGAAAUUGUUGAAAGGGAAGCGCUUGCAGCCAGACUUGCCUGUAGUUGCUCAUCCGGGCUUUUGCCCGGUGCACUCUUCUGCGGGCAGGCCAGCAUCAGUUUGGGCGGUUGGAUAAAGGUCUCUGUCAUGUACCUCUCUUCGGGGAGAACUUAUAGGGGAGACGACAUACAACCAGCCUGGACUGAGGUCCGCGCAUUUGCUAGGAUGCUGGCGUAAUGGCUGUAAGCGGC
rnacentral:rRNA from 1 species